UACGGAGGGUGCAAGCGUUGUCCGGAAUCACUGGGCGUAAAGGGCGCGUAGGCGGCUCGGUAAGUAUGGGGUGAAAUCCUGCGGCUUAACCGCAGGGCUGCCUUCUAAACUGUCGAGCUCGAGCACGGUAGAGGCAGAUGGAAUUCCCGGUGUAGCGGUGGAAUGCGUAGAGAUCGGGAAGAACAUCAGUGGCGAAGGCGACGUGCUGGGUUGCACCUGACGCUGAGAUGCGAAAGUGUGGGGAGCAAACGGG
rnacentral:rRNA from 1 species